rnacentral:rRNA from 1 species
ACUGAUGUAUUCAACGAGUCUAUAGCCUUGGUUGACAGGCUCGGGUAAUCUUUGAAAUUUCGUCGUGAUGGGGAUAUAUCAUUGCAAUUUUUAGUCUUCAAC